GGGCGAUUAGCUCAGCUGGGAGAGCACCUGCCUUACAAGCAGGGGGUCAGUGGUUCGAACCCGCUAUCGCCCACCA
rnacentral:tRNA from 2 species